rnacentral:RNase_P_RNA from 1 species
AGUAAGCCAGACAGUCGCGCAGGCAGCGCCGAAAGGCCGUUUGUGAGGAAAGUCCGGGCUCCGCAGGGCAAGGAUAACGGGUAACGCCCGCCGAAGGCGACUUCAGGAAAAGUGCAACAGAGAUAUACCGCCCGUCGCCGCAAGCUCCAUGUUUUUUGCUUCGCCGCAAAGCGGAAGCGAAGGAUGUGGAGCUUGCGCCACCCGCGCUUCCCCAACUCCGGAAAGAACCCAGCGAAGCGGUUCUUUCCGGAAGAGGAGGAGCAGCGGAACGAGUGAGCUUUCGCCGCAAGGCGGAAGCGAAGGAUGUGGAGCUUGCGACGACGAGGUAAGGGUGGAAAGGCGAGGUAAGAGCUCACCCGUUUCUGUGGCAACACAGAAACGCUGUAAACUCUAUCCGGAGCAACACCGUGGGAGAACACAUGGCUUGCCCGGCCGUUCUCAGGAGGUGGCUUGAGCGCACCGGCAACGAUGCGUCGAGAUAGAUGACUGUCAAAUACAGAACCCGGCUUAUAGACUUACUCAU